AUCAAAGAAGAUAAAAUAAUCAGAACUACUGUAUGGGAUAUACACUGCCUAAUAUAGACCAAGUCAGAAUGCUUCCAUUUGCAGUUGCAAUUGGCAGAUACUCAUCUCCAACUGAAAUAUCUGACCAAUGAAAGUGAAUGUUAAAAAAUAUCAAAAUUUUAAAUGCACAAAAUACAUCAAGGAUAAAAAUUUAAGAUAAUAAUUAUUAAAAUAUAUUAAUUAAUUGUCAAAUAAAAUUAAUGAAACUCAAAAAAUUAACAAUUUAAAUAUAAUGAUAAAAUAUCAUGAUAAUUAUUUUAAUAUUUUUAAUUAAUAUUUAAAUUUAUUAUUUUAAUAAUCUUACCAAAAAAAAUUAAUUUAAAUAUUAUCAAAAUGAUUAAUUUUUAAUAAUUAUCCUACAUAAUUAUAAAAUAAAAUUAAUUAAACUCAUAAAUAAAAAAUUUAAAUAUACAUUAAUAAAAUUAACUUGCUGCGCAGCUGCUGCUGGGCACGCAGCUUGCUGCGCAGCUGCUGUUGUGGGCAGCAGCUGCUGGGCACGCAGCUGCUGCUGUGGGCAGCAGCUGCUAGGCACGCAGCUGCUGCCCAGCAGCAGCUUGCUGCGCAGCAUGCUGCUGCUGCUGAGCAGCAGCUUGCUGCUGGGCACGCAGCUGCACAGCUGCUGCUGGGCAGGCAGCUGCGCAGCCCAGCAGCAGCAGCUGCGCAGCCCAGCAGCAGCAGCUGCGCAGCCCAGCAGCAGCAGCUGCGCAGCCCAGCAGCAGCAAGCUGCUGCUGCCCACGCAGCAAGCUGCUGCCCAGCAGUAGCUGCCCACAAUUUAAUUUUUUUUUUAAAAUAUAAUUAGUAAAAAUCAAAGUAGACACUUACUUGAUAGGCAGUGGCGGAAGUGGCGGCAGUGGCGGUAGUGGCGAGCGGCAAUGCAGUAGUGGCGAGAGGAGCGUCCAGCAGCAGCGACAGUGACGGGAUCAACGGCAGCGGCGGCGGCGGCGAUUUCGGCAAGGAGAGAGGAGAGGAGAGGAGAGGAGAGGAGAUGAAGUGGGCGGCUAAAAUCAG
rnacentral:lncRNA from 1 species